rnacentral:lncRNA from 1 species
UUUUAAUAGCAUUAUCUUUGAAGUUAUUUAGUUUCCCAUUUGAUAUUCUUCAGUUUUGGAAAACUAAGGCUAGCUUGGUUCUCCAAUUUAUUUACUUUCCUAUUUUUGUUUUAGGCAAGUUUUGAUAUUUUUAAUGUUUUCUUUUAACUAGUUUAUAGUAGCCCUAUUUAAAGGGGGGUUCACUUCAUAUGUAGGCAGUUUUGAUUGGCAAUAUAAUUUGUGAGAAGUUUUCUGAUUCGCUCCAGAAGUGAAUUCUUUACCGC